rnacentral:rRNA from 1 species
UACGUAGGGUGCAAGCGUAUCCGGAAUUAUUGGGCGUAAAGAGCUCGUAGGCGGUUUGUCGCGUCUGCUGUGAAAACUGGAGGCUCAACCUCCAGCCUGCAGUGGGUACGGGCAAACUAGAGUGCGGUAGGGGAGAUUGGAAUUCCUGGUGUAGCGGUGGAAUGCGCAGAUAUCAGGAGGAACACCGAUGGCGAAGGCAGAUCUCUGGGCCGUAACUGACGCUGAGACGCGAAAGCGUGGGGAGCGAACAGG